CCCUUAGAUGUUCUGGGCUGCACGCGCGCUACACUGAAGCGUUCAACGAGUAUUCACCUUGCCCGGGAGGGUUGGGUAAUCUUUUGAAAACGCUUCGUGAUGGGGAUAGAUUAUUGCAAUUAUUAAUCUUCAACGAGGAAUUCCUAGUAAGCGCGAGUCAUCAGCUCGUGCUGAUUACGUCCCUGCCCUUUGUACACACCGCCCGUCGCUCCUACCGAUUGAAUGAUCCGAUGAAUAUCAUAGACUGAGAGUAUAAGCAGGUUCGCCUGUCUUUGCUUCUCGGGAAGUGAAGUAAAUCUUAUCAUUUAGAGGAAGGAGAAGUCGUAACA
rnacentral:rRNA from 1 species